AGAAAUAUGUCUUACAAAGAGUUACUUUGAUAGAGUAAAUAAUAAAGGUUUAAAUCUUCUUAUUUUUA
rnacentral:tRNA from 1 species